GGCUUCUUAAAACAUGUGUGAUUAUGUGUAUAUUAUACAAAGAGUCUUAUAUUGUCUGCUCUGACAAAAAUAAAUUAUUAUUUUAGGUUUAGGGGAAUUGACUGCAUGUGUCUUAUAAAUACAACUUGAUAAUACGUUUGUUUUGUAAAGAGACUUCUUUAAAGGCACGCAAGAAUAAAAUAUUUUAGUUGUAACUGGUUAAACUUAAAGCCGAUAUUUUCUAUCGAACUAGUCUAUUUUCUGUUCAGACACAAAGUUUUCUGAUGCUGAUAUUAUGUCAGUGUGUUUGUGUGGGGGUCGUGUGAUGUAAUCUUUGAAAGUUUAUGACCGAACCUUUAUUGGGGAGCGACAAGAGAUCUCCCGGAAUCAGUUUGGAUGGAGCAGAGCUGUUAUACUCAAGUCUAUUGGUAUGUAUGUGUUUCGCAGUGUUCGUUCCAGUAUUUUGUCUGAUUUAUUUAAAAACUAAAAAUUCGAUCUCUGGUAUUGCAGCGAAAUUGUCUAAACUAGAACAUCCCGCAGCGUAACACGGAAAUCUUGGAACAAAAGAGACGCAGAGUGGAUCGUGUUGUCCGGUUUGGAUAUCAGCGGCAAAGCGAACGUUGUGUGUACUAUUGCAAAAUAUAUAGCGGAUCUCCACGGUUAGGAUACAGACCACAACGCUUUGGACGUAUCUUUAAAAAAGAGAAAAAUCGGAGACUUUUUGGAUUUGUCUGGGACAUUUUAAACAUUUUGUGGCAAAUUGGAUUUAAAACGUUUCGGAUACUGGAUACAUGUGUUGGAUUUGUCCACAGUGCUUGUUUAAGACGUCUUCACCUCAUUUUAGGGUUUAUUUUUAAUUAAAGGCUUCUUAAAACAUGUGUGAAAAUGUGUAUAUUAUACAAAGAGUCUUAUAUUGUCUGCUCUGACAAAAAAAUAAAUUAUUAUUUUAGAUUUUAGGACAAAUGUCUGUGUGUAUCUUAUAAAUACAACUUGAUAAUACGUUUGUUUUGUCAAGAGACUUUUUUAAAGUCACGCAAGAAUAAAAUAUUUUAGUUGUAACUGGUUAUACUUAAAUCUGUUAUUAUCUAUUUAACUAUAAGCUAUAAUUUUCUGAUAAGCCUUAAACAGAAGCUGCUCUGUGAGCGUCUGGGUGUUUGAGAUAAUUCACAUUAGGGGGCUGCUUGUAAACUAGUGUCUUUUAAAACCGCCGUGGUAAUAUGUAAUAUGGUAACUCUGUCAAAAAGUAAAAGGUUUAUUUUAGAUCACACCCUAUUUUAUGGCAAACAAUGCAGUAUCUAAAAGUUUGUAACAACACAAUUUUAUUUAAUGAAAUAUUCAGCAUGGGUAUAGCAAUGAACUGUGCCAAAACCACCGGGGGCCGCCAAUAACACAGUCUUUAGGUUAAGGCUUUUUAUUUUUAACUAAAUAAAAGCUUAAUCUUUUCAUGCACAAUAUUCUGUUCACACCAUUAGAUUGCGGUCCUGCGCUUACAAUAGAGAACAUAAGCGGAUGCGUGUUCAUAUCCAUACGUUAAGAAAUCGUCCAUAUGUCAAUUCAUCUUCUGGGGUUUGUUUUAAAAAA